AGGACGAACGCUGGCGGCGUGCUUAACACAUGCAAGUCGAGCGGAAAGGCCCUUCGGGGUACUCGAGCGGCGAACGGGUGAGUAACACGUGGGUGACCUGCCCCCUACUCUGGGAUAAGCCUGGGAAACUGGGUCUAAUACCGGAUAUGACUACAUGUCGCAUGGUGUGUGGUGGAAAGUUUUUUUCGGUGGGGGAUGGGCCCGCGGCCUAUCAGCUUGUUGGUGGGGUGAUGGCCUACCAAGGCGGUGACGGGUA
rnacentral:rRNA from 1 species